rnacentral:rRNA from 1 species
UAGGGAAUCUUCGGCAAUUGACGAAAGUCUGACCGAGCAACGCCGCGUGAGUGAAGAAGGUUUUCGGAUCGUAAAACUCUGUUGUUAGAGAAGAACAAGGACGUUAGUAACUGAACGUCCCCUGACGGUAUCUAACCAGAAAGCCACGGCUAACUACGUGCCAGCAGCCGCGGUAAUACGUAGGUGGCAAGCGUUGUCCGGAUUUAUUUGGCGUAAAGCGAGCGCAGGCGGUUUCUUAAGUCUGAUGUGAAAGCCCCCGGCUCAACCGGGGAGGGUCAUUGGAAACUGGGAGACUUGAGUGCAGAAGAGGAGAGUGGAAUUCCAUGUGUAGCGGUGAAAGGCGUAGAUAUAUGGAGGAACACCAGUGGCGAAGGCGGCUGUCAGGUCUGUAACUGACGCUGAGGCUCGAAAGCGUGGGGAGGAAACAGG